rnacentral:rRNA from 1 species
UGGGGAAUAUUGGACAAUGGGCGCAAGCCUGAUCCAGCAAUGCCGCGUGUGUGAAGAAGGCCUGCGGGUUGUAAAGCACUUUCAGUAGGGAGGAAAAGUUGCAGGUUAAUACCCUGUAACCCUGACGUUACCUACAGAAGAAGCACCGGCUAACUCCGUGCCAGCAGCCGCGGUAAUACGGAGGGUGCGAGCGUUAAUCGGAAUUACUGGGCGUAAAGCGCGCGUAGGCGGCUAUGUCAGUCGGAUGUGAAAGCCCUGGGCUUAACCUGGGAAUUGCAUUCGAUACUGCAUGGCUAGAGUAUGGUAGAGGGUAGUGGAAUUCCUGGUGUAGCGGUGAAAUGCGUAGAGAUCAGGAGGAACAUCAGUGGCGAAGGCGGCUACCUGGACCAAUACUGACGCUGAGGUGCGAAAGCGUGGGGAGCAAACAGGAUUAGAUACCCCCGUAGUCC